ensembl:lncRNA
CGGAGGACCGCGCUGGCGAGGUGGCUUAAAAUAGAGAAAUGAGAUGAAUCUUUGGAGAUUGUGGUUCCUGAUCAGCAGGUGACCUGACGCCGCUCUCUGAAUGGUUGCCUCAGUUUCCCCAGUGCACCUCAGACACUCCCACUUCAUUGGUAGUAUCUACACCCACUAUUAACCCUUAGGUGUCAGUUUAAAAAAGUUACACAGAGGUCCUCACAGACAAAAAUGUCCUUGUGUGCGCAUGAGGGUUAACACUGUAUCUUAACACCCCAUACAUCCUUCUGCAGGAUAACGUGGCUAAAACUAAUGGAUGGAUGGAUGGAUGGUGGUGGGUUAACCCGAUGACUUAACAGUGUUGAACUGAGCUAAACAGUGAUAUGUCAGCAAACACUCCUGAUGAUACAAAGGUUUCCCAGAGACUAUGGGUUGAGGAGGAAUUGGAAGUUUGUCGGCUUAGACCUGGUGUCAUUCCAUCAGUGUUAAACUUCCCGGCUCAUCUUGGAAGAGUACGUGCCAGAAAGACCACGACCAAGCAGCCUUGAGAUCUUAGGCAGCGUCUCCCUGAGGUCCCUCUCUAUCUCCCCACACAUCCACCAACCACUGGAACACAUCUCCAAAGUUCUGCAGGGCCAGCUCAGCUUCCCCUCAGAAGAAGUGCCGCCACCUGCCAGAUGAAGGAGCCUUUUGAGAGGCAGCUGGCAUCGUGAUUGGACUGUACUUUGGUCUGUUCCAAUCCAGCUUCAGCUCCAGAGACGGCAGGCGGGACGAGUCAACGGAGGCCUGGUGGACGAAGGCAUGCAGCUGAGUACAAUCCAGAAAACAACAGAGGAGGAGUGCAGUGGCCCAGGGCCAGAACAACCAGAGUAGCAUCGUAUGUCUCUUAGAAAACAUCAUAGUAUAGCCUUUGGUAUGAAAAAACGCCAUCAUAUACAUCGUAUAUUGUACAAAUAACAAGUCAAAGGAAAGAGACAUACAUUGUAGAAUUGUAGUAAUUGUGGGCUGACUGAUUUACUGAUUAUCAGUAUUUUAUUUUUUACUGAUUUACG